CAAGAAAAAAGCGAGCAAUUUGCCUACAUCUGCUGUCUUUAUAGCACUUACUCUUGCACCAUCUUUGCCAGAAGCACCUUCAGGUCCUUUCUCUCCGCUGUCUCCCUAAUAAAAUGAGACAGUCACUCCAGGGAUUCCAACAGUUCCUCUCUCACCAGGCAUGCCCUGCAGACCAGGAGGGCCCUGAGAUCCAGCAGCACCAGCUGGUCCAAUUGCACCCUGUUGGAAAUCAAUUUUAAAGUCCAUCAGUACCGGGAGUUCCUGGAAGUCCUCUUGGUCCCUGGAGACCCUGAGGGCCAGAGCUUCCUCUCUCACCAGGGAAACCACGUUCACCCUAAGAGAAGCACAGGCAAGAGUUAUUUUUGAGUAAUGUCACAUU